AGCUCUUCCUUGCUCUUCGUCCGUGGCUUAGCGAGAGCAGUUUUGCUUACAUGACAAUCACUCCUUUCGUUCGUGGGCUUCAACAAACCUGAGUACCUUUUCUGGGCCAGACCUGGAGAGGGGUCUCGAAGAACGGUCCGGCAGCCCUGCCCUGGAGGCGCUGACAGCCCGGUGAGAGGGACCGACGUGUGUAGGCAAAGACUCACCUUCCGUGUAAAAGGGUAGAAAGACGUACCGGGGGCUUGCGGAGCUUAGAAGAGUGGAUCUGACUCAGUUUGUGAGGAGGCAGCUGGGGAGGUCGUGUGGGAGGGAGGGCAUUCUAGGCAGUGGGGAAAGGCUGUCUGAGAGACGGGGACCUGAACACAUUCCGGUCGAGCGGGAAGGUGUAGUUUCUGGUGCAUGAGAAGAGGCAGGGUUGUGGGGCAGGGACUGAUUUCAGGGGGCUUUGAUCCCCCAACGUGUUAGAGAAGAUAUUGAAGGACAGAAAGGAUGAGCAGCUAACGAGGGGAAGGAGCCCCAGGAGUGCUGCUGGUCAGAGGAAUAGUGAGCAGACGUAGCAGUGAAGUCCGGUUGUCCUGGACUUGGAUGUGCUGCCCACUGGAUUUGGAUGUGAGCUAUUUGUAAGAGUUAAAGAGGAAAGAAACAAAACGCGGCUGGCAGUUAGAGACAGGUUUUCUUUACUUAAAACCUGAGAGGUGCUCCUGACCGGUUUCGGUCAAGAGCCCUUUCUCUUACAGACUAAGAGUAUAUAUUGGUUUUAGGGUGAAGGGGGAUUAUCACAAGCUUGGAAUGUUUAUGUGUGGGGUUGGAAUCUCUCUGGGAGGUGGGGAGGUUAUCUUGGGGCAGACAUCUUUCCGGCCCGGAGAGGGGUUAUCUGCGGGCUAGCAUGUCUCUGGUCUGGAAGGAGUUUGGAAUAUUUGUGGUUGGAGAUGUUAUUUGUGGUGUGUGGUCGUGCCGACCUUAGCUAUUAGGCUGAUACCUUUUGGAUUUUUUUUUUUUUUUAAUGUAAAAAAAAGCAAAUCUUAAGCUGAAACUCAUAAAAAGAUAAGCAACUAGAUGAGAACUACUCAUCUUAGUCUCACUCCUUCCUCACCAAAUACUUCUGUCAUUCUCACCUCUCCUUUUAAGCCAAAUAUUAAAACUUUUUAAUGGAGGAUUAUUUGCUAUGCCACCCUUGUGGGAAUCGGUGAACAUUUGAAUGAGGGGCUUGUCCAAGAUGGCAGUGCUCUUGCUCUGUCAAUCCAGACCCUGUAGUUAUAAAAAGGGAUAGGACGGCAUGUUCUUUCUGGCUACUUCCUGGUGAUUAGGACGGAGAGUUUUCUGGUCUCGGGUUGACUGUAGGAGCAAUGCCGUCUGCAGGAUGUCAGUUAAAAAUCUUUGAAUUAGGCAGGGUAAGAACAUUAAUCCCAGGCAUAUUAUUAGGAGAGGGCCCAGGAAUGGGAUGACCCAUGUUGUGAUUUUGUUUUCAAACCAAGAGUCUAUGUGGUUGUUCUGGUACUGCGUCAGCUUUUUAGCCUUUUCUUUAAGUUUUUUAGCAAUGCUUUUUGCUAGGCCCGAUUGGCUAAUAUAGAAACAACUUUUCUUAUCUAAUGAGAGGCAGAGGUGCAUGUUUGGAAAUUUUCUGUUAGUAACCGUUAUUCCUGCUAUGAGGAUAAUAAUUAAGCAAAAUGCUAUAGUAAUUUGAGAUGUUCUGUUUGAUAUUCCACCCUGAGGGUGCUACAGUAUCUAGUUCUACUGCAAAUAGUAGAGUAAAGCAGUUCCCACAAGGGUGGCAUAGUAAAUAAUUUCCAUUAAAAAGUUUUAAUAUUUGGCUUAAAAGGAGAGGUGGGAAUGACAGAAGUAUUUGGGGAGGUUAGGGGUGAGACUGAGUAAGAUGAGUAGUUCUCACCUAGUUGCUUAUCUUUUAUGAGUUUCAGCUUAAGAUGUGCUUUUUUUUUAACAUU